rnacentral:sRNA from 1 species
UUGUAAAGUGAUUGCAGAAGAUUGUAAUGAAAUGAAAGCUUAUAAAGAUAAUAGUUGUUGUAUAUUAUAGUUGAUCUUAGUGUUGUUUUAAAGCAUAUGAAGCACUCUCUCGUAUUUAGAAAUAUAUCAAAGGGUAAAAAGCAAUUCUAUUUAAAUAAUAUUAGUCAGAAAAA